rnacentral:rRNA from 1 species
AUGUAUUGUCAUAAACUUCUUACUGCAAAAGGAACCAGUGGCACUUCACAUUUGAAGAGUCACAUGAGCUCUUGUGGUGCUAGGCAUGCACCAAUAGGGCCAAAGCAACAAAAAUUAAGGCUCACAAAGGUUGAUAAUGGAAAAGCCAAUUUGGAGAAUACUAUUUUUGAUCAAGAUGUUGCCAGGAAAGAGCUUGCACUAAUGAUUUGUGUUCAUGAGUACCCUCUGUCUAUGGUUGAUCAUUCGGGUUUUAGGAAAUUUUGUUCUACAUUACAACCAAUGUUCAGAAUGGUAUCGAGGAAUACUAUUAGAAAUGAUAUUCUGGAUAUGUAUGCAACCGAGAAGGAUAAUAUGGUGAAAUAUUUUGCUAACUUCAAAAAUCGAGUUGCCAUCACUACAGACAUGUGGACUGCAAAACAUCAGAAGAGAGGUUACAUGGUAGUCACCGCACACUUCAUUGAUGAAUUUUGGCAACUAAAUAGUAUUAUCUUGAGUCAUAUGUCAAGCACUGCGCGAGUCCCUUGUUGA